GCCUAACACAUGCAAGUCGAGCGGCAGCACGGGAAGCUUGCUUCCUGGUGGCGAGCGGCGGACGGGUGAGUAAUGCAUAGGAAUCUGCCCGAUAGUGGGGGAUAACCUGGGGAAACCCAGGCUAAUACCGCAUUCGCCCUACGGGGGAAAGCAGGGGCUCUUCGGACCUUGCGCUAUCGGAUGAGCCUAUGUCGGAUUAGCUGGUUGGUGAGGUAAAGGCUCACCAAGGCGACGAUCCGUAGCUGGUCUGAGAGGAUGAUCAGCCACAUCGGGACUGAGACACGGCCCGAACUCCUACGGGAGGCAGCAGUGGGGAAGAUUGGACAAUGGGCGCAAGCCUGAUCCAGCCAUGCCGCGUGUGUGAAGAAGGCCUUAGGGUUGUAAAGCACUUUCAGUGGGGAAGAAAGCCUUUCGGUUAAUACCCGGGAGGAAGGACAUCACCCACAGAAGAAGCACCGGCUAACUCCGUGCCAGCAGCCGCGGUAAUACGGAGGGUGCGAGCGUUAAUCGGAAUUACUGGGCGUAAAGCGCGCGUAGGUGGCUUGAUAAGCCGGUUGUGAAAGCCCCGGGCUCAACCUGGGAACGGCAUCCGGAACUGUCAGGCUAGAGUGCAGGAGAGGAAGGUAGAAUUCCCGGUGUAGCGGUGAAAUGCGUAGAGAUCGGGAGGAAUACCAGUGGCGAAGGCGGCGUUCUGGACUGACACUGACACUGAGGUGCGAAAGCGUGGGUAGCAAACAGGAUUAGAUACCCUGGUAGUCCACGCCGUAAACGAUGUCGACUAGCCGUUGGGUCCUUCGCGGACUUUGUGGCGCAGUUAACGCGAUAAGUCGACCGCCUGGGGAGUACGGCCGCAAGGUUAAAACUCAAAUGAAUUGACGGGGGCCCGCACAAGCGGUGGAGCAUGUGGUUUAAUUCGAUGCAACGCGAAGAACCUUACCUACCCUUGACAUCCUGCGAACCCUUCGGAGACGAAGGGGUGCCUUCGGGAACGCAGAGACAGGUGCUGCAUGGCUGUCGUCAGCUCGUGUUGUGAAAUGUUGGGUUAAGUCCCGUAACGAGCGCAACCCUUGUCCUUAUUUGCCAGCGAGUAAAGUCGGGAACUCUAAGGAGACUGCCGGUGACAAACCGGAGGAAGGUGGGGACGACGUCAAGUCAUCAUGGCCCUUACGGGUAGGGCUACACACGUGCUACAAUGGUCGGUACAAAGGGUUGCGAACUUGCGAAAGUGAGCUAAUCCCAGAAAGCUGAUCUCAGUCCGGUUCGGAGUCUGCAACUCGACUCCGUGAAGUCGGAAUCGCUAGUAAUCGUGAAUCAGAAUGUCACGGUGAAUACGUUCCCGGGCCUUGUACACACCGCCCGUCACACCAUGGGAGUGGACUGCUCCAGAAGUGGUUAGCCUAACCUUCGGGAGGGCGAUCACCACGGUGUGGUUCAUGACUGGGGUGAAGUCGUAACAAGGUAGCCGUAGGGGAACCUGCGGCUGGAUCACCUCCUU
rnacentral:rRNA from 1 species